CGCAUCUGUGCAUGCAGCAUAUCAAUAAGCGGAGGAAAAGAAACUAACAAGGAUUCCCCUAGUAACGGCGAGUGAAGCGGGAAGAGCUCAAAUUUGAAAUCUUAAAGGGUUUCCCUUUACGAAUUGUAGUUUAAAGAAGUGUUUUCUGUUGAGGUUUUGGUAAAAGUUCUUUGGAAUAGGACAUCAUAGAGGGUGAGAAUCCCGUAUUUGACCUUUACUUUCAACUUUGUGAUACACUUUCAAAGAGUCGGAUUGUUUGGGAAUGCAGUCCAAAAUGGGUGGUAAAUUUCAUCUAAAGCUAAAUAUUGGCGAGAGACCGAUAGCGAACAAGUACCGUGAGGGAAAGAUGAAAAGAACUUUGAAAAGAGAGUUAAACAGUACGUGAAAUUGUCAAAAGGGAAGCGUUUGACACCAGUGUUGUUUUUCUGAAAAUCAAUUAAAGAACUGUUUAUGCUAAGUUGUUUAGACUUUAUCAGCUAACUGUUUAGUUUUGAGCUUUUCUUUAAUGCACUUUCCAGUUAACAAGUCAACAUCAAUUUCUUUUGCUGUAAAAAAGCUUGAGGAAGGUGGCUUGAGAUUCGUCUUAAGUGUUUAUAGCCUCUUGCCUAUGCAGUCGGAGAGAUUGAGGUCUGCAGCGUAGAUCCUUCGGGGCUAAAUGCAUUUGCUGCUAAGUUAUAGCAUUUUAUAGACAACUUGUUGACUAUGAUUUGUCUUGUAGCUUACUCGCUUAUGUUAUUUUACCUACGCUUAGGAUGUUGAACGCGCACAGAGUCUC
rnacentral:rRNA from 1 species